rnacentral:tRNA from 1 species
CACCCGUGGGUACCGGCGCUGUGCGAUGCGCUGCAGGCGCACCCGGCGGCGCAGUUCUACGCCGCGCUGGCGG